GGGACGAACGCUGGCGGCGUGCUUAACACAUGCAAGUCGAACGGUAAGGCCCCUUCGGGGGUACACGAGUGGCGAACGGGUGAGUAACACGUGAGCAACCUGCCCUUGACUCUGGAAUAACAGUUGGAAACAGCUGCUAAUACCGGUUAUGACCUGUCACCGCAUGGUGGUGGGUGGAAAGUUCUGGCGGUCAGGGAUGGGCUCGCGGCCUAUCAGCUAGUUGGUGAGGUAAUGGCUCACCAAGGCUUCG
rnacentral:rRNA from 1 species